rnacentral:tRNA from 1 species
UUCCUGGUAGUCUAGUGGUUAAGACUCUGAGCUCUCAAUGCAAGAAACACAGGUUCAAUCCCUGGUUAGGGAA